CGGGACGGGUGAGUAACGCGUGGGUAACCUGCCUCAUACAGGGGGAUAACAGUUAGAAAUGACUGCUAAUACCGCAUAAGCGCACAGAAUCGCAUGAUUCGGUGUGAAAAACUCCGGUGGUAUGAGAUGGACCCGCGUCUGAUUAGCUAGUUGGUGGGGUAAAGGCCUACCAAGGCGACGAUCAGUAGCCGACCUGAGAGGGUGAUCGGCCACAUUGGGACUGAGACACGGCCCAAACUCCUACGGGAGGCAGCAG
rnacentral:rRNA from 1 species